GUCCACGCCCUAAACGAUGUCAACUGGUUGUUGGUGGGGUUAAACCCAUUAGUAACGAAGCUAACGCGUGAAGUUGACCGCCUGGGGAGUACGGCCGCAAGGUUAAAACUCAAAGGAAUUGACGGGGACCCGCACAAGCGGUGGAUGAUGUGGAUUAAUUCGAUGCAACGCGAAGAACCUUACCUACCCUUGACAUGUACGGAAGCCCGAUGAAAGUCGGGCGUGCCCGAAAGGGAGCCGUAACACAGGUGCUGCAUGGCUGUCGU
rnacentral:rRNA from 1 species